GACUACAGCCAUGCCACCCUGAACAAGCCCGAUCCCGUCUGAUCUCGGAAGCUACGCAGUGUUGGACCUGGUUAGUACUUGGGUGGGAGACCACCUAGGAAGACCAGGUGCUGUAGGCA
rnacentral:rRNA from 1 species